rnacentral:rRNA from 1 species
UGGGGAAUUUUGCACAAUGUGGGAAACCCUGAUGCAGCGACGCCGCUUGAUUUAGAAGGCCUUCGGGUUGUAAAAAUCUUUUCUAUGGUAAGAAAAUGACAGUACCAUAGGAAUAAGGACCGGCUAAUUACGUGCCAGCAGCCGCGGUAAUACGUAAGGUCCGAGCGUUGUCCUGAAUCAUUGGGCGUAAAGGGUACGUAGGCGGGUAAGCAAGUUAGAAGUGAAAUCCUAUAGCUCAACUAUAGUAAGCUUUUAAAACUGAUCAUCUUGAGGUAUGGAAGGGAAAGUGGAAUUCCUAGUGUAGCGGUGAAAUGAGCAGAUAUAAGGAGGAAUACCGGUGGAGAAGGCGACUUUCUGGAAAUAAACUGACGAUGAGGUACGAAAGCGUGGGUAGCAAACAGG